GCUCCGUUGGUGAACCAGCGGAGGGAUCAUUAAUGAGGUCAAAACCCUCUCCAAACCACUGUGAACCUACUAAAUUUCGUUGUUUCGGUAGGCGGCCCCUGGGGGGGUCCUAGGCCUUUAGGCGCCUACCGGGCGGCACUUCAAAAAAACCUUACAAUUCUUGCUUUCAGCGUAUACCAGCCUGUCUUAAGGGCGUUAUAAUCAAUAAACACUUUCAACAACGGAUCUCUUGGUUCUG
rnacentral:misc_RNA from 1 species